rnacentral:rRNA from 1 species
GAUGAACGCUGGCGGCGUGCCUAAUACAUGCAAGUCGAGCGAACGGACGAGAAGCUUGCUUUUCUGAUGUUAGCGGCGGACGUGUGAGUAACACGUGGAUAACCUACCUAUAAGACUGGGAUAACUUCGGGAAACCGGAGCUAAUACCGGAUCAUAUUUUGAACCGCAUGGUUCAAAAGUGAAAGACGGUCUUGCUGUCACCUAUAGAUGGAUCCGCGCUGCAUUGGCUAGUUGGUAAGGUCACGGGGUCCCACGGCAACGAUGCAUAGCCGACCGGAGCGGGUGAUCGGCCACACGGGAACAGAGAGAGGGUCGAGACGCGUGGGGGAGGCAGCAGUAGGGAAUCUUCCGCGAUGGGCGAGAGCGUGAGGGAGCAACGCGGGGUGAGUGAUGAAGGUGUGCGGAUCGGAAAACGCUGUUAUUAGGGAAGAACAUAUGUGUAAGUAACUGGGAAGAUCGUGACGGUACCUAAUCAGAAAGCCACGGCUAACUACGUG